rnacentral:rRNA from 1 species
UGGGGAAUUUUGGACAAUGGGCGCAAGCCUGAUCCAGCCAUGCCGCGUGAGUGAAGAAGGCCUUCGGGUUGUAAAGCUCUUUCGGCGGGGACGAAACGGUUCGUGACAACACCACGGACUAAUGACGGUACUCGCAGAAGAAGCACCGGCUAACUACGUGCCAGCAGCCGCGGUAAUACGUAGGGUGCAGGCGUUAAUCGGAAUUACUGGGCGUAAAGCGUGCGCAGGCGGCUCCUUAAGUCAGAUGUGAAAGCCCCGGGCCUAACCUGGGAACUGCGUUUGAAACUGGGGAGCUAGAGUGUAGAAGAGGGGGGUGGAAUUCCAGGUGUAGCAGUGAAAUGCGUAGAGAUCUGGAGGAACACCGAUGGCGAAGGCAGCCCCCUGGGCUAACACUGACGCUCAGGUACGAAAGCGUGGGGAGCAAACAGGAUUAGAUACCCCAGUAGUCCCUGAGCGGGCUGGCAAGGCGCAU